rnacentral:rRNA from 1 species
CAAAAACAUCGCCUCCUGCAAAAAUCAACGUAUAGGAGGUCUUGCCUGCCCAGUGACUGUAAGUUAAACGGCCGCGGUAUUUUGACCGUGCAAAGGUAGCGCAAUCACUUGUCUUUUAAAUGAAGACCCGUAUGAAUGGCGGAACGAGGGCUUAACUGUCUCCCUCCUCUAGUCAAUGAAAUUGAUCUACCCGUGCAGAAGCGGGUAUAAUAAUACAAGACGAGAAGACCCUUUGGAGCUUAAGAUAAAAGACCAACUAUGUCAAAAGUCCUAAAACAAGACUAAACCAAAUAGUACUGGUCCCAAUCUUCGGUUGGGGCGACCACGGGAGAAAACAAAGCUCCCACGCGGACCGGGGCAACCCCCUAAAACUAAGAAAGACAUUUCUAAGGCACAGAAUAUUUGACCAACAAAGAUCCGGCUACACGCCGACCAACGGACCAAGUUACCCUAGGGAUAACAGCGCAAUCCCCUUCCAGAGUCCAUAUCGACAAGGGGGUUUACGACCUCGAUGUUGGAUCAGGACAUCCUAAUGGUGCAGCCGCUAUUAAGGGUUC